UGGGGAAUAUUGGUCAAUGGGCGAAAGCCUGAACCAGCAAUGCCGCGUGAGUGAUGAAGGCCUUCGGGUUGUAAAGCUCUGUCAGUGGGAACGAAUAAGCCGGUUAAUACCCGGUGGUGACGGUACCCACAAAGGAAGCACCGGCUAACUCUGUGCCAGCAGCCGCGGUAAUACAGAGGGUGCAAGCGUUGUUCGGAAUUACUGGGCGUAAAGCGCGUGUAGGCGGUCCAGCAAGUCGGGUGUGAAAUCCCUAGGCUUAACCUAGGAACUGCAUUCGAAACUACUAGACUUGAGUAUCGGAGGGGAUGGCGGAAUUCCCGGUGUAGAGGUGAAAUUCGUAGAUAUCGGGAGGAACACCUGUGGCGAAGGCGGCCAUCUGGAAGAUUACUGACGCUGAGAC
rnacentral:rRNA from 1 species